rnacentral:rRNA from 1 species
GACGAACGCUGGCGGCGUGCCUAACACAUGCAAGUCGAACGAUGAAGCCGGAGCUUGCUCUGGUGAAUUAGUGGCGAACGGGUGAGUAACACGUGAGUAACCUGCCCUAGACUCUGGGAUAACUGCGGGAAACUGUAGCUAAUACCGGAUACGACCCUCGGAGGCAUCUCCUGGGGGUGGAAAGAAUUUCGGUCAAGGAUGGACUCGCGGCCUAUCAGCUAGUUGGUGAGGUAAAGGCGCACCAAGGCGACGACGGGUAGCCGGCCUGAGAGGGUGACCGGCCACACUGGGACUGAGACACGGCCCAGACUACUGCAGGAGGCAGCAGUGGGGAACAUUGCAAGAGGGGCGCAAGCCUGAUGCAGCAACGCCGCGUGAGGGAUGACGGCCUUCGGGUUGUAAACCUCUUUUAGCAGUGAAGAAGCGAAAGUGACGGUACCUUCAGAAAAAGCACCGGCUAACUACGUGCCAGCCGCCGCCGUAA